UGUCGAAUUUGUACCUAUAGAAGAGAUUGUUAAAAAGUGUAAACGAACUUAAGAUGUUUAUCUUUACAGAUCGAUUUCGUUUAAAUCCGUCGAGGUCCCAGAUUACCCUUCCGGCGAUACGGGAGACGUGGAGAAGGACACCGAAUCGUAAAAGAAACGCCAGCGAUAUACAUAAGCGUUGUAUUACGCUGUGCCACUCCAUAUGAGUAUAUUAAGUGGAAUCUUACAUCGAAUGCUGACUAAUACAUAACAAGCAGUCCCAUAGUACAAAACGCAGCUAAAUUUAUGAU